UUAAGUGACUAAGCGUACACGGUGGAUGCCUAGGCAGUCAGAGGCGAUGAAGGGCGUGCUAAUCUGCGAAAAGCGUCGGUAAGGUGAUAUGAACCGUUAUAACCGGCGAUACCCGAAUGGGGAAACCCAGUGUGUUUCGACACACUAUCAUGUCAUGAAUACAUAGUGGCAUGAGGCGAACCGGGGGAACUGAAACAUCUAAGUACCCCGAGGAAAAGAAAUCAACCGAGAUUCCCCCAGUAGCGGCGAGCGAACGGGGAGGAGCCCAGAACCUGAAUCGGCUUGUGUGUUAGUGGAAGCGUCUGGAAAGUCGCGCAGCAAAGGGUGAUAGCCCCGUACACUAAAAUGCACAGGUCGUGAGUUCGAUGAGUAGGGCGGGACACGUGACAUCCUGUCUGAAUAUGGGGGGACCAUCCUCCAAGGCUAAAUACUCCUGACUGACCGAUAGUGAACCAGUACCGUGAGGGAAAGGCGAAAAGAACCCCGGCGAGGGGAGUGAAAUAGAACCUGAAACCGUGUACGUACAAGCAGUGGGAGCACCUUCGUGGUGUGACUGCGUACCUUUUGUAUAAUGGGUCAGCGACUUAUAUUUUGUAGCAAGGUUAACCGUAUAGGGGAGCCGUAGGGAAACCGAGUCUUAACUGGGCGAAUAGUUGCAAGGUAUAGACCCGAAACCCGGUGAUCUAGCCAUGGGCAGGUUGAAGGUUGGGUAACACUAACUGGAGGACCGAACCGACUAAUGUUGAAAAAUUAGCGGAUGACUUGUGGCUGGGGGUGAAAGGCCAAUCAAACCGGGAGAUAGCUGGUUCUCCCCGAAAGCUAUUUAGGUAGCGCCUCGUGAACUCAUCUUCGGGGGUAGAGCACUGUUUCGGCUAGGGGGCCAUCCCGGCUUACCAAACCGAUGCAAACUCCGAAUACCGAAGAAUGUUAUCACGGGAGACACACGGCGGGUGCUAACGUCCGUCGUGAAGAGGGAAACAACCCAGACCGCCAGCUAAGGUCCCAAAGUCAUGGUUAAGUGGGAAACGAUGUGGGAAGGCAUAGACAGCCAGGAUGUUGGCUUAGAAGCAGCCAUCAUUUAAAGAAAGCGUAAUAGCUCACUGGUCGAGUCGGCCUGCGCGGAAGAUGUAACGGGGCUAAACCAUGCACCGAAGCUGCGGCAGCGACGCUUAGGCGUUGUUGGGUAGGGGAGCGUUCUGUAAGCCGUUGAAGGUGGCCUGUGAGGGUUGCUGGAGGUAUCAGAAGUGCGAAUGCUGACAUAAGUAACGAUAAAGCGGGUGAAAAGCCCGCUCGCCGGAAGACCAAGGGUUCCUGUCCAACGUUAAUCGGGGCAGGGUGAGUCGACCCCUAAGGCGAGGCUGAAAAGCGUAGUCGAUGGGAAACAGGUUAAUAUUCCUGUACUUGGUGUUACUGCGAAGGGGGGACGGAGAAGGCUAGGCUAGCCGGGCGACGGUUGUCCCGGUUUAAGCGUGUAGGGGGUGUGACCUGGUAAAUCCGGUUGCAUAUCAACCCUGAGGCGUGAUGACGAUGCACUACGGUGCAGAAGUAGUUGAUGCCCUGCUUCCAGGAAAAUCCUCUAAGCUCCAGGUAACAUUAAAUCGUACCCCAAACCGACACAGGUGGUCAGGUAGAGAAUACCAAGGCGCUUGAGAGAACUCGGGUGAAGGAACUAGGCAAAAUGGUGCCGUAACUUCGGGAGAAGGCACGCUGGCAUGUAGGUGAAGUCCCUUGCGGAUGGAGCUGAAGCCAGUCGAAGAUACCAGCUGGCUGCAACUGUUUAAUAAAAACACAGCACUGUGCAAACACGAAAGUGGACGUAUACGGUGUGACGCCUGCCCGGUGCUGGAAGGUUAAUUGAUGGGGUCAGCCGCAAGGCGAAGCUCUUGAUCGAAGCCCCAGUAAACGGCGGCCGUAACUAUAACGGUCCUAAGGUAGCGAAAUUCCUUGUCGGGUAAGUUCCGACCUGCACGAAUGGCGUAAUGAUGGCCAGGCUGUCUCCACCCGAGACUCAGUGAAAUUGAACUCGCUGUGAAGAUGCAGUGUACCCGCGGCAAGACGGAAAGACCCCGUGAACCUUUACUAUAGCUUGACACUGAACAUUGAGCCUUGAUGUGUAGGAUAGGUGGGAGGCUUUGAAGCGUGGACGCCAGUCUGCGUGGAGCCAUCCUUGAAAUACCACCCUUUAAUGUUUGAUGUUCUAACUCGGCCCCGUGAUCCGGGGUGAGGACAGUGUCUGGUGGGUAGUUUGACUGGGGCGGUCUCCUCCCAAAGAGUAACGGAGGAGCACGAAGGUUAGCUAAUCACGGUCGGACAUCGUGAGGUUAGUGCAAAGGCAUAAGCUAGCUUGACUGCGAGAGUGACGGCUCGAGCAGGUACGAAAGUAGGUCUUAGUGAUCCGGUGGUUCUGAAUGGAAGGGCCAUCGCUCAACGGAUAAAAGGUACUCCGGGGAUAACAGGCUGAUACCGCCCAAGAGUUCAUAUCGACGGCGGUGUUUGGCACCUCGAUGUCGGCUCAUCACAUCCUGGGGCUGAAGUAGGUCCCAAGGGUAUGGCUGUUCGCCAUUUAAAGUGGUACGCGAGCUGGGUUUAGAACGUCGUGAGACAGUUCGGUCCCUAUCUGCCGUGGGCGUUGGAAGAUUGAGAGGGGUUGCUCCUAGUACGAGAGGACCGGAGUGAACGCACCACUGGUGUUCGGGUUGUCAUGCCAAUGGCAUUGCCCGGUAGCUAAGUGCGGAAAAGAUAAGCGCUGAAAGCAUCUAAGCGCGAAACUUGCCUCAAGAUGAGUCUUCCCUGGGCCUUUAAGGCCCCUGAAGGAACGUUUAAGACUAAGACGUUGAUAGGCUGGGUGUGUAAGUGCAGCGAUGCAUUGAGCUAACCAGUACUAAUGAUCCGUGAGGCUUAACCUU
rnacentral:rRNA from 1 species